GCCGCAGCAAACGCAAUAAGUAUUCCACCUGGGGAGUACGUUUGCAAGAAAGAAACUCAAAGGAAUUGACGGGGACCCGCACAAGCGGUGGAGCAUGUGGUUUAAUUUGAAGCAACGCGAAGAACCUUACCAAGUCUUGACAUCCCGAUGACAAGCUAUGUAAUGUAGCCUCUCUUCGGAGCAUCGGUGACAGGUGGUGCAUGGUUGUUGUCAGCUCGUGUCGUGAGAUGUUGGGUUAAGUCCCGCAACGAGCGCAACCCCUGUCCUUAGUAGCCAGCGGUUCGGCCGGGCACUCUAGGGAGACUGCCAGGGAUAACCUGGAGGAAGGCGGGGAGGACGUCAAAUCAUCAUGCCCCCUAUGACUUGGGCUACACACGUGCUACAAUGGCGUAAACAAAGGGAAGCAAAGCCGUGAGGCCGAGCAAAUCUCAAAAAUAACGUCUCAGUUCGGACUGUAGUCUGCAACCCGCCUACACGAAGCUGGAAUCGCUAGUAAUCGCAGAUCAGAAUGCUGUGGUGAAUAAAAACCCGGGUCUUGCACUCCCCGCCCGUCAAGGGC
rnacentral:rRNA from 1 species